rnacentral:rRNA from 1 species
AUUGAAAGCUGGCGGCAGGCUUAACACAUGCAAGUCGAGCGAGAGGCGGACGGGUGAGUAAUGUCUGGGAAACUGCCUGAUGGAGGGGGAUAACUAAUGGAAACGGUAGCUAAUACCGCAUACCAUCAAAUGUGCCCAGAUGGGAUUAGAUAGUAGGUGGGGUAAUGGCUCACGUAGGCGCAGAACCCUAGCUGGUCUGAGAGGAUGACCAGCCACACUGGAACUGAGACACGGUCCAGACUCCUACGGUAGUCAGCAGUGGGUAAUAUUGCACAAUGGGCGCAAGCCGGAUGCAGCCAUGCCGCGUGUGUGAAGAAGGCCUUCGGGUUGUAAAGCACUUUCAGCGAGGAGGCGUUACUCGCAGAAGAAGCACCGGCUAACUCCGUGCCAGCAGCCGCGGUAAUUC